UACGUAGGGGGCAAGCGUUGUCCGGAAUCAUUGGGCGUAAAGAGCGUGUAGGCGGUUCGGUAAGUCGGCUGUGAAAGUCCAGGGCUCAACCCUGGGAUGCCGGUCGAUACUGCCGGACUAGAGUUCGGAAGAGGCGAGUGGAAUUCCCGGUGUAGCGGUGAAAUGCGCAGAUAUCGGGAGGAACACCUAUGGGCGAAGGCAG
rnacentral:rRNA from 1 species